rnacentral:misc_RNA from 1 species
AUUUGGCCACAUGUAUUAAUCAGUUUUUGUGCUCCUUUAUUAAUUGAAGGAAAGACUUUUGGAGUUCACAGAUGUAGAUUCUAGGUGAUAAAGACCUAAAGUAUAUGUAAAUUGAAUAAUUGGCUUCGAACAAAUGGGUUAAAAGUACACAUAAAAAUAGAAUUAUUAACUCAAAACUUCAUUGUACUUGAAAACGCAAUCAUAAAGCCGUCCUCCAAGAAACUGAGCAACCUCUGGAUGUUUCACCUGAUUAAAAAAACGGUAGAAAAAUGCAAAAGGAGAGAUUUAUCAUGAAUUUAAUAAAAUCCUACAAAUCAAUAUUCAUUUACUGAUAUUCUCACUAAACAAAAGUAAAAUAACUUAAACAGUUACCAUUCCAAUCUUGAGAGAAUCACACUUAAACUGAGCAUAAAGAUUAGUCUCUAUCGCACGACCCAUUCCUUCCAAUACAACGAGGUCUGCAUCACUAGAUAAAUAAGCUAGCUCUUGUGAAACACUUGUAAGAUCAAUAACUGGCAAAUCAUUUCCAGAAUUGGCAAUCAAAAGAUUAGAGGUAUCGAUGCCCGCUAGCUUUCCAGUUCCAUCCUUCAACUUGGAUAUAAUCUCAAUCAGUUCAGGGUAUGUGACAUCAUUAAUAGAAGGCAAGUCAUUAGCAGCCAACACAACCUGAGUUCCACGUCGAAGUAGCUCCCUUGCAAAGGGCAAAAUACCCAAAAUUAUAUCUGCACCAGAAUUAUCAACAAAGAUGACAGCCUUUUUCCAAGAUUUCUUGCUCCAUUUCACUUUGAAGGUGUCUAAAUCAUCAAUAACCCAAGGUCGAGAGACAAGAUUUUGACAACUAGCCAAAAAGGACAUUCCAUCCCUUGAGAAAACCUCAGCAAGCUGUGCAGAACCAAGGUCAAAUAUAUUUCCUGCAAAUAUUCCUUUAACCAGAUUCUCUAGACGCUUUGUUCCAUCUUCAAUAGCAUCAUUAAGACAAACAACAUCCUCAAAUAGAGAUAUAGCUUUUGCAUUCUCUUCAUCCUUGACUUUUUUGAAUAUGUCUCUAAAUCCCAAUUCUCUUAGUACUUGCUCCCGCAGUCUGCACAGAAGAAUGCAAUCAGGGGGACCACCAUGACUUUCAGGAUCUUUCUUUAAGUCCUCAAGGAUCUCAGAAUACCUUUGAGCAAACUUUUGAGCUUUGGCAGGAGCAUCAGCAACUGUAGUAUCACUUUCAGCACGUUUCUUGAAAGAGGGGAUGGAAUUGUAGAAGAGGUCAAUCCAUUGAAGCUCAGUAGGAGUAGGCUUUCUGGGAUUAUCAGAAGGGAACCUAUAGGGAAUAGUGCAAACUCUGUAGUUGGAUUCGAUCGGCGUCAAUAGCAACGGGAAAGCUACCAUUUCCGAUGUGCUUUCCAUUGUUUUUCUUCUUUGGAUUGCCUUCCUUCUAAUUUGUGCUCUUCUCUGAUUUUUUAUUUCUC